UACGUAGGGUGCAAGCGUUGUCCGGAAUUAUUGGGCGUAAAGAGCUCGUAGGCGGUUUGUCGCGUCUGCUGUGAAAACGCGGGGCUCAACUCCGCGCCUGCAGUGGGUACGGGCAGACUAGAGUGCGGUAGGGGAGAUUGGAAUUCCUGGUGUAGCGGUGGAAUGCGCAGAUAUCAGGAGGAACACCAAUGGCGAAGGCAGAUCUCUGGGCCGUAACUGACGCUGGAGGAGCGAAAGCAUGGGGAGCGAACAGG
rnacentral:rRNA from 1 species